UACAGGGGGGGCGAGCGUUGUUCGGAAUUACUGGGCGUAAAGGGUUCGUAGGUGGCUGACUAAGUCGAACGUGAAAUCCCCGGGCUCAACCCGGGAACUGCGUCCGAUACUGGAAGGCUUGAAUCCGGGAGAGGGAUGCGGAAUUCCAGGUGUAGCGGUGAAAUGCGUAGAUAUCUGGAGGAACACCGGUGGCGAAGGCGGCAUCCUGGACCGGCAUUGACGCUGAGGCGCGAAAGCCAGGGGAGCAAACGGG
rnacentral:rRNA from 1 species